AAGGAUCAUUAAAUAAUUUAGAUGGCCUUUGCUAGUUUUCUAGCGAAUGGUUCAUUCUUUUUUACUGUGAACUGUUUUAAUUUUUCAGCGUCUGAGGAAUGUCUUUUAGCCAUAGGGAUAGGCUACUAGAAUGUUAACCGAGCUGAAAGUCAGGCUUAGGCCUGGUAUCCUAUUAAUUAUUUACCAAAAGAAUUCAGUAUUAUAAUUGUAACAUAAGCGUAAAAAACUUAUAAAACAACUUUUAACAACGGAUCUCUUGGUUCUCGCAUCGAUGAAGAACGUAGCAAAGUGCGAUAACUAGUGUGAAUUGCAUAUUCAGUGAAUCAUCGAGUCUUUGAACGCAACUUGCGCUCAAUGGUAUUCCAUUGAGCACGCCUGUUUCAGUAUCAAAAACACCCCACAUUCAUAAUUUUGUUGUGAAUGGAAAUGAGAGUUUCGGCUUUAUUGCUGAAUUCUUUAAAAUUAUUAGGCCUGAACUAUUGUUCUUUCUGCCUGAACAUUUUUUUAAUAUAAAGGAAUGCUCUAGUAAAAAGACUAUCUCUGGGGCCUCCCAAAUAAAUCAUUCUUAAAUUUGAUCUGAAAUCAGGCGGG
rnacentral:rRNA from 1 species